rnacentral:rRNA from 1 species
AUUGAACGCUGGCGGCAGGCUAAACACAUGCAAGUCGAGCGAGCGGCGGACGGGUGAGUAAUGUCUGGGAAUCUGGCUGAUGGAGGGGGAUAACUACUGGAAACUGUAGCUAAUACCGCAUACCAUCAGAUGUGCCCAGGUGGGAUUAGCGAGUUGGUGGGGUAAUGGCUCACCUAGGCGACGAUCCCUAGCUGGUCUUAGAGGAUGACCAGCCACAGUGGAACUGAGAGACGGGCCAGACGCCUACGGGAGGCAGCAGUGGGGAAUAUUGCACAAUGGGGGCAAGCCUGAUGCAGCCAUGCCGCGGGAGUGAAGAAGGCCUUCGGGUUGUAAAGCACUUUCUGCGAGGAGGCGUUACUCGCAGAAUAAGCACCGGCUAACUCCGUGCCAGCAGCCGCGGUAAUUC